UUGAUCGCUUAAUGAUUUUCAACAGAGUUUGUUAGCCCUUUCCUACUUUUCAUGCUCGGCUACAUAUUCAACGGUACUCUUAUCUGUGGGUUUCUCAAGCUUUUUCUCCAUUGCGAAAUCCAAGCCCAAAAGACUAAGUGCUAUUUUGACGUCUCGUUUCCAUCUCUUCCCGGUCAAAGUUUCAAUAACAGACAAUUGAUUCGAAAGAGAUGAG
rnacentral:lncRNA from 1 species